GAAUGCAGAGACCACGUUGUAUAUGAAGCAUCCACUUUGCCUUAUACACCAGGGCAUUCAAUAACCACUUAAUAACUACAACCCUGAUGAUCCGAUUCACUACUAAAGUCUUCCGUGUUUAAAUUUUCAAAGUCAGAUUCUCCUACAGCAAUUGGCCCAAUUCCCCUUCCUAGAGGCAACCACUGCUACUUAUCUCCCAUAUAUAUUUCCAGGAGUGAUGGUGAGGAGGAAUUGUGCCAGCUUGCUUCUUCACUGCCAUUUUGGAACCAGAACUCAGAACCUGAGAAAGAUGAAUGAAAUUUAGUGUUUCCCAUCCCUGAGAGACACCCAGCAUCCACAACUUCACACUCUGAUGCCAUUGUGUAUUUAUGCGAGGAAUACCAUAACUAAGAUGAGGUCUCGCUAUGUUGCCUAGGCUAGUCUUGAACUCCUGGCCUCAAAUGAUCCUUCUGCUUCAGCAUCGGGAGUCACUGGGAUUAAAGGCAUGAGCCACCAUGCUCAGGAACUUGACAUCAUCAGACAGUAAAUCAAGAGGUACUGACAACUGAGACUGAGUGAUGGUCCCUGCCUAGGAUUUGGAAUCUUUGCAUGAAAUAGGGACUCUAGCCACCAGUGACAAAGAAGUCAGGGAGACUGC
rnacentral:antisense_RNA from 1 species